UAGGGAAUCUUCGGCAAUGGACGAAAGUCUGACCGAGCAACGCCGCGUGAGUGAAGAAGGUUUUCGGAUCGUAAAACUCUGUUGUUAGAGAAGAACAAUGACGUUAGUAACUGAACGUCCCCUGACGGUAUCUAACCAGAAAGCCACGGCUAACUACGUGCCAGCAGCCGCGGUAAUACGUAGGUGGCAAGCGUUGUCCGGAUUUAUUGGGCGUAAAGCGAGCGCAGGCGGUUUCUUAAGUAUGAUGUGAAAGCCCCCGGUUCAACCGGGGAGGGUCAUUGGAAACUGGGAGACGUGAGUGCAGAAGAGGAGAGUGGAAUUCCAUGUGUAGCGGUGAAAUGCGUAGAUAUAUGGAGGAACACCAGUGGCGAAGGCGGCUCUCUGGUCUGUAACUGACGCUGAGGAGCGAAAGCGUGGGGAGCAAACAGG
rnacentral:rRNA from 1 species